GGUGGUUCUCGGGUGACACACCCCGGAAUCGGGCUCCCUCCUCUCUGGUUCCGGGUGCGUUACCCAAAAACCGCA
rfam:Myotis brandtii contig251735, whole genome shotgun sequence.